CAAUGGGCCAAUAACUUAUAACUGAUCGGUUAGAAAAAUACAUUCCCUAGUUUCUCUUUUCCUUUUCCUUGAAUGCACUCAAGAACAUUCUCUUUGUUUAAAUCCUCUUCAUCUUGUUCCGCAGCGCUACCCUAAGCAUUGGGAUUAGGGCUUUUAACUAGUAAUUAUUGCAGAAUUAAGGAGCUACGUCAAUCCUAAUUGUGUCUGCACUCUGCCACACCUCAUUUUGAUUGAUUCAUCAUCAACUUAAUCUGUGAAUAAUCUUUGAAUUCGAUCACAGAUUAAGUUUCGUUUCUUCGAGUUGGAGGAAUCCGCAAUCUGUUUUCCCUCGCUCUCCUCCCAUCCAAUCAAUUAGAGAUCUAAAUCUCGUUACUGCGGCAUCAUUCCCUCCGUAAGAAACUCACAAUUCUUGACUGCUAGAGAGAUGCUGUUGAUUGUUGAAGUUCGUAGAGAAAGCUAUCAAAUCCAAGUGAUAAAUUUGCGCCAUCAAAUAAAAAUCUUGUCAUCUUAUAUACAGCUCAAGCCUAAAGCUCUC